GUAGGGAAUCUUCCACAAUGGGCGCAAGCCUGAUGGAGCAACACCGCGUGAGUGAAGAAGGGUUUCGGCUCGUAAAACUCUGUUGUUAAAGAAGAACGUAUCUAAGAGUAACUGCUUAGGUAGUGACGGUAUUUAACCAGAAAGCCACGGCUAACUACGUGCCAGCAGCCGCGGUAAUACGUAGGUGGCAAGCGUUAUCCGGAUUUAUUGGGCGUAAAGCGAGCGCAGGCGGUUUUUUAAGUCUGAUGUGAAAGCCUUCGGCUUAACCGAAGAAGUGCAUCGGAAACUGGGAAACUUGAGUGCAGAAGAGGACAGUGGAACUCCAUGUGUAGCGGUGAAAUGCGUAGAUAUAUGGAAGAACACCAGUGGCGAAGGCGGCUGUCUGGUCUGUAACUGACGCUGAGGCUCGAAAGCAUGGGUAGCGAACAGGAUUAGAAACCCUGGUAGUCC
rnacentral:rRNA from 1 species